rnacentral:rRNA from 1 species
UACGUAGGGUCCGAGCGUUGUCCGGAAUUACUGGGCGUAAAGAGCUCGUAGGUGGUUUGUCGCGUUGUCCGUGAAAACUCACAGCUCAACUGUGGGCGUGCGGGCGAUACGGGCAGACUGGAGUACUGCAGGGGAGACUGGAAUUCCUGGUGUAGCGGUGGAAUGCGCAGAUAUCAGGAGGAACACCGGUGGCGAAGGCGGGUCUCUGGGCAGUAACUGACGCUGGAGGAGCGAAAGCGUGGGGAGCGAACAGG